rnacentral:rRNA from 1 species
GGUUAAGCGACUAAGCGUACACGGUGGAUGCCCUGGCAGUCAGAGGCGAUGAAGGACGUGCUAAUCUGCGAUAAGCGUCGGUAAGGUGAUAUGAACCGUUAUAACCGGCGAUUUCCGAAUGGGGAAACCCAGUGUGAUUCGUCACACUAUCAUUAACUGAAUCCAUAGGUUAAUGAGGCGAACCGGGGGAACUGAAACAUCUAAGUACCCCGAGGAAAAGAAAUCAACCGAGAUUCCCCCAGUAGCGGCGAGCGAACGGGGAGCAGCCCAGAGCCUGAAUCAGUGUGUGUGUUAGUGGAAGCGUCUGGAAAGGCGUGCGAUACAGGGUGACAGCCCCGUACACAAAAAUGCACAUACUGUGAGCUCGAUGAGUAGGGCGGGACACGUGGUAUCCUGUCUGAAUAUGGGGGGACCAUCCUCCAAGGCUAAAUACUCCUGACUGACCGAUAGUGAACCAGUACCGUGAGGGAAAGGCGAAAAGAACCCCGGCGAGGGGAGUGAAAAAGAACCUGAAACCGUGUACGUACAAGCAGUGGGAGCACGCUUAGGCGUGUGACUGCGUACCUUUUGUAUAAUGGGUCAGCGACUUAUAUUCUGUAGCAAGGUUAACCGAAUAGGGGAGCCGAAGGGAAACCGAGUCUUAACUGGGCGUUAAGUUGCAGGGUAUAGACCCGAAACCCGGUGAUCUAGCCAUGGGCAGGUUGAAGGUUGGGUAACACUAACUGGAGGACCGAACCGACUAAUGUUGAAAAAUUAGCGGAUGACUUGUGGCUGGGGGUGAAAGGCCAAUCAAACCGGGAGAUAGCUGGUUCUCCCCGAAAGCUAUUUAGGUAGCGCCUCGUGAAUUCAUCUCCGGGGGUAGAGCACUGUUUCGGCAAGGGGGUCAUCCCGACUUACCAACCCGAUGCAAACUGCGAAUACCGGAGAAUGUUAUUACGGGAGACACACGGCGGGUGCUAACGUCCGUCGUGAAGAGGGAAACAACCCAGACCGCCAGCUAAGGUCCCAAAGUCAUGGUUAAGUGGGAAACGAUGUGGGAAGGCCCAGACAGCCAGGAUGUUGGCUUAGAAGCAGCCAUCAUUUAAAGAAAGCGUAAUAGCUCACUGGUCGAGUCGGCCUGCGCGGAAGAUGUAACGGGGCUAAACCAUGCACCGAAGCUGCGGCAGCGACGCUUAUGCGUUGUUGGGUAGGGGAGCGUUCUGUAAGCCUGUGAAGGUGUGCUGUGAGGUAUGCUGGAGGUAUCAGAAGUGCGAAUGCUGACAUAAGUAACGAUAAAGCGGGUGAAAAGCCCGCUCGCCGGAAGACCAAGGGUUCCUGUCCAACGUUAAUCGGGGCAGGGUGAGUCGACCCCUAAGGCGAGGCCGAAAGGCGUAGUCGAUGGGAAACAGGUUAAUAUUCCUGUACUUGGUGUUACUGCGAAGGGGGGACGGAGAAGGCUAUGUUGGCCGGGCGACGGUUGUCCCGGUUUAAGCGUGUAGGCUGGUUUUCCAGGCAAAUCCGGAAAAUCAAGGCCGAGGCGUGAUGACGAGGCACUACGGUGCUGAAGCAACAAAUGCCCUGCUUCCAGGAAAAGCCUCUAAGCAUCAGGUAACAUCAAAUCGUACCCCAAACCGACACAGGUGGUCAGGUAGAGAAUACCAAGGCGCUUGAGAGAACUCGGGUGAAGGAACUAGGCAAAAUGGUGCCGUAACUUCGGGAGAAGGCACGCUGAUACGUAGGUGAAGCGACUUGCUCGUGGAGCUGAAAUCAGUCGAAGAUACCAGCUGGCUGCAACUGUUUAUUAAAAACACAGCACUGUGCAAACACGAAAGUGGACGUAUACGGUGUGACGCCUGCCCGGUGCCGGAAGGUUAAUUGAUGGGGUUAGCGCAAGCGAAGCUCUUGAUCGAAGCCCCGGUAAACGGCGGCCGUAACUAUAACGGUCCUAAGGUAGCGAAAUUCCUUGUCGGGUAAGUUCCGACCUGCACGAAUGGCGUAAUGAUGGCCAGGCUGUCUCCACCCGAGACUCAGUGAAAUUGAACUCGCUGUGAAGAUGCAGUGUACCCGCGGCAAGACGGAAAGACCCCGUGAACCUUUACUAUAGCUUGACACUGAACAUUGAGCCUUGAUGUGUAGGAUAGGUGGGAGGCUUUGAAGUGUGGACGCCAGUCUGCAUGGAGCCGACCUUGAAAUACCACCCUUUAAUGUUUGAUGUUCUAACGUGGACCCGUGAUCCGGGUUGCGGACAGUGUCUGGUGGGUAGUUUGACUGGGGCGGUCUCCUCCUAAAGAGUAACGGAGGAGCACGAAGGUUGGCUAAUCCU